GACGAACGCUGGCGGCGUGCCUAAUACAUGCAAGUCGAGCGAAGUUUUUCUGGUGCUUGCACUAGAAAAACUUAGCGGCGAACGGGUGAGUAACACGUAAAGAACCUGCCUCAUAGACUGGGACAACUAUUGGAAACGAUAGCUAAUACCGGAUAACAGUAUUUCUCGCAUGAGAGAUAUUUAAAAGUUGGUUAUGCUAACACUAUGAGAUGGCUUUGCGGUGCAUUAGCUAGUUGGUGGGGUAAAGGCCCACCAAGGCGACGAUGCAUAGCCGACCUGAGAGGGUGAUCGGCCACACUGGGACUGAGACACGGCCCAGACCCCUACGGGAGGCAGCAGUAGGGAAUCUUCCGCAAAGGGCGAAAGCCUGACGGAGCAACGCCGCGUGAGUGAAGAAGGAUUUCGGUUCGUAAAGCUCUGUUGUUAGGGAAGAAUGGAUAUGUAGUAACUAUACAUGUAAGAGACGGUACCUAACCAGAAAGCCACGGCUAACUACGUG
rnacentral:rRNA from 1 species